UAUGGUGCUUUUGCCGAGGGUGUUCACCUCUUCCCAUACCGAACAGAGAAGUUAAGCCCCUCAUGGCCGAUGGUACUGGGUUUUCCCGGGAGAGUAGGUAGGUGCCAUAU
rnacentral:rRNA from 1 species